rnacentral:sRNA from 1 species
CUGUAGAGGAGGAGCUGGAUGAAAUGUGCCUGUAGAGGAGGAGCUGGAUGAAAUGUGCCUGUAGAGGAGGAGCUGGAUUAAAUGUGCCUGUUGAGGAGGAGCUGGAUUAAAUGUGCCAGUUGAGGAGGAGCUGGAUUAAAUUGACGCUGGAGCACCACAGGCAGGGGCCCUCCAUAGCUGUGGAAAGUUAAGAAGGCAUUGAAGAUGACUAUUCUUUGGAGAGGCCUGAUGCCCGAAUUUGAGUUUGGCACUUACAGCGAAUCUGAGAGGAAAACCGAGGAGUACGAUACUCAGGCCAUGAAGUACUUGUCGUACCUGCUGUACCCGCUCUGUGUCGGGGGCGCUGUCUAUUCACUCCUGAACAUCAAAUACAAGAGCUGGUACUCCUGGUUAAUCAACAGCUUCGUCAACGGGGUCUAUGCCUUCGGUUUCCUCUUCAUGUUGCCCCAGCUCUUUGUGAACUACAAGUUGAAGUCAGUGGCACAUUUGCCCUGGAAGGCUUUCACCUACAAGGCUUUCAACACCUUCAUUGAUGACGUUUUUGCCUUCAUCAUCACCAUGCCCACGUCUCACCGGCUGGCCUGCUUCCGGGACGACGUGGUGUUUCUGGUCUACCUGUACCAGCGGUG